AGCCGGGUACUGCGCGGCGAAAGAUUACGAACCCCGUCAGGUCCGGAAGGAAGCAGCGGUAAGUAAAUCCUUUCGGGUGCCGCAGGGAAGCCUGGCUAUC
rnacentral:SRP_RNA from 1 species